AGCCUCUGCAGCACCCAUAAUUCACUCGAGUGUCCCCCAGGUUGCGAGCCGAGCCCCUCAGCAGCCCACACUUGCACACAGGCGUGCCCAGCUGGACAGAGUCUAAACACUGUUUAUCGAGGUGGAUUGUGAAGGCCUUUUCUCUACAACCUUCAUAUUUUAGAGGGACAAUCAUGACCGCUAUAGCACGUGAGAGGAAAACCGUAUAAUCUGAUUCCACAUAAACCCUGUAAGUAGAGAAAAAUGCUGAAAGCGCUCUUAGAAAACCUUUAUAACAAACUCAUCGCUAUGCCAACCUAACAUUGUAAUAACAAACGCUGUGUUUAUGAAUGAAGACUACAAGGCCUCGUUUUCCCCAAUGUGUGAAGAGAGUACACUAGUUAGGGCUUUGAUUUGGUUUGGUUUGGUUUGGUUUGGUUCGGUUUGGUUCGGUUCGGUUUGAUGCUAGGUUUUGUACGUCGGUCUUGCAUGUUUUAGCUUAUAUAAUUUACAAUCUUUCUUUUUUCAUUUCUUUCUUUUUUUCAUUUUAGCUACGUGGAAGGCAGACGUUCUGUGGCCAUGUAGACACGUUAGUUCUUCAUCUGACUCAAAUUUUGGUUCGAAGCAGAGAAGAGCUACCCGAGCAUGAGGCCCUAUGUUAUUAGUUAUUAGUGACGUGGCAGUUCCCGGUCAGCUGGCUUAGAACAGAUUACGUCUCCUAUGUAAGAAGGGCUCUCGUCCUUUUGCACACACAGUCGAGAGUCAGAUCCACAAAACACAGAAAACCUCAUCCACGUCAUCUUGCCUUCAGCCCUCCUGACCCUUCCCUGGGAAGUCUCUUACCUAUGUGUGGAGAAACACACAUGUGUCCGUCCCAGCUUCUUGGGAAGUUAGCAUGGAUUUGGGGACAAUUCGUUUAUCUCCUUGGCGAGAGUAGCCAUGGUUGUCCCCUAGUUAUACCCCACUUCACAAGUGUCCUCUAGUCUGUCCUGAAAUCAAAGCCAUCGUUAGCCAAGGGUGCUUGUGGGAAACAGCAAGAACACAGCACUGCCUGUUCCUGGUGCCAUCUGGCUUCCCCUCUCCUUCUAAAUCCUUAUUUAAAAAUUAAAAAAAAAAAAAAAAAAAAAGCUUAGAGCAAGCAAGCCACACCUGAUUUGUGGAUGUUCUUUUAACUUAGUAAUCCUAAUGUGGCUGAGCCUCCUACCAUGGUCUUUCUGUUAGUGAGGGUGACUGGGGGUUCUUCUAGGGUAGACCUUUCCCACUGCCUCAGUAGGAUGUGCUUCUGUCAAUGCUAUAAUACCUCUCCCUUUUCAGACUUCUCAGUGGGAAAGUAAAAACCACAUGCUACAGCAGAAGGUGAACAGCGCCUGUUGUCACAAACACUUGCUUCUUCCAUUAGUUCUUCCUAAGCUCACUACAGACCCCCUUGGAAAAUUAGCCACUUUCGGCUUCACUGUGCUCUUCUCCUAUACCAAGAAAUGCUCACAUUUUUGAACAUCAAUUCGGUAGCUAAAAGCAACUCUGAGAGGUAGUCAACAGUUUAGUUUGCAGAACUCUUUCGGCUUUUAUGCUUUCUUUGUCUCAUCCUGAAAGAGCAUAAUCAGACACCAGACAGACUUCAGUUUGACUGACAGAGACAUUACAGAGGAAGCUGCAUUGGCCAUGUCUUUACGACCAAUAGCGCCGUGACUUUGCUAAUGUGUGUCAUGGUGUCUUUGCAUGUGACACAAAGCAGCCAAGAGACUGUGCGGAUGCGUCUGAAUGGCUUUCCUCCAGGCAUCAUGUAAUAACAGCAGCAAAGCUUGGGUGCUCUUGACAGCCAGGUGACCUCAAGGAAAGAAACCAGGGAGGGAGCCACCGCUGUGGCUUCUAGCACAUUCCAAUCACAAAACCAGAAAUCUCAGACAACUGGCAAGCACGUUUUAAAACAAGAUUGACCCCAAGUCCUUUUAGUGUGUGCUGUGUUCAUUUACCUUUCUCUCAGUUAAGAAAUGCAUUGAUCCUCUAUGAAAGGAAUGCAGAAGGCAGUCCUUUAAAGAAAGUUGCCCACAGUAGAUAUUCCGCUACAGUGCGAACUACGUACAGCUGACUUACUCAGCAGUGAGCUGUUGAAGAAGUGACUCCUUAAAGACAUCCCUUCUUGUUGACUUGGUAUUUUCCAACCUUGUCUAUGAUUAUGUGUGGGUGGGUGGGAGGAUUCAUUAACUCUCCUAGAGUAAGGAGUACCGCACACUCACCAGCUGACCUCUGCACAGACAAGGCACCAGGUUCCAGUCCCAGGAGCUCACAGCCAUUUAAAGGAUGCACACACACCAUUAAUGGGAUCUUCCCCUCAAGCCUCCAGCAGAGAUAGGGCACCAGCUGCUGUUUGAAUUUGUACCAAAAGCCUCUUCCUUCUACAAAGCAUCUCGACCGGUGACGAGAAAAGCCAGUGUCUUGUCUUCAAAGGUGAGGAACACGCAGUCACCCCGUCAUUUACCUUUGAGAAGCAGAAUUGAGAGAUUGCCCUUCGGGGAGGACAUGCUUCGUUUGAAAGACAGGAGAAAGCCAGCCAUUUGCUGUCCUCACUGUGCAGCGACCCAUUGAUCAGAAUCCAAAGAAAAUCCUCUGCGACAUCAGGCAUCAGUAAGGGCGGUGUUCAAUAUCAACUGAGCUGGACAUAUGUAAUGUAAUCCCUCGGGUCCCUCCUCCCUCCAUAGCUCCACCCAGGAGGAGCAGCAAUGCAACUGAACAGCAAUAAUCACUCUAUACAGUCCAAGUGUGGAUAGUGGGAGGGACUGGGACAGCAAGUCAGAUGAUGAUGAUGAUGGUGGUGGUGAUGGUGGCGAUGAUGACGACGACAAUGAUGAUGAUGAUGGGCCUACUUAGACUGUGAAACAAGAGCUGAUUCUUAGCAAAUUCAUGGUGUUAGUCCUUUUUUGAAAUUCUCUGUGUUUUCUGAAGGUGAUGGUGGUUACAAUAAGAGAAAGCAAACUGACUGAGUGACUGCAGGGUUCUACCACCUUCAAUUGGUUUUACCUGAAGCCAAAAUCAAAAGCCAAUUUGAUGCUGUAAAAUUACUAAGGCAGUGUCUGCUAAUAAUAUGAUGGGUCCUACUUUGGAUACCUAUGCUCCUCUAAGAGAUGAUUUCUUUAAGAUCACAAUGCUCAGGGGGCUACUAUUUUCUUCUAUGUCUUCCCUAGGAAGAAAGCUAGAACCCCAGUCUAAGUCUAGAAGAGAAAAGCAGCUGACGCAGGCCCUUUACCAUCCUGCCCCAGAACCAUGCCCCCAAAUGACGCAGAACAUUUCUAGCAAGUGUCAUAAGCCACACAUAUGGGUCAUAGUUACUCUUGUUACCACAGUCCUCUCCCUGCUCAGACCCUGACAAUGGUCUCAGUUAAAGGCUAGGGUUAAGUCUGUAGCAGCUAAAAACACCACAGCUCCGAUGAAAAAAGAUUGAUAAGCACAACAUCCCUUCCUGCGUGUUUCUCAAGCCCACGUCCAGUGUAUCCCUUCAGCCACAACGUGUGAGCCUCCGUGGACAACGAGCUUGCUGCGGCUCCGAUGGGGACAUUCUUUGUUUAAAAUCAAAGCUUUCACACUGUCCCCAUCUCAUUGCUGUACUGUUUCUGGCUACGGUGCUGUCUUUAAUAAAACACCAUUCCAGGAAGUCCACACCGAGGCAUCCUCAUUGGUCUCAGGAUGAGCACCUUGCCUUGCUGGGACAGAGCCUCUGCAUCAAGCGUGAGCAGAAAGCAUAUGCAGACCGUGGACAGAAUGCUGUUUCAGAGUUUUUAAGCAUCUGGACUCGUUUCAAAUUACUUAUAAAUAUCUUCAAAUGUUCUCAGGACUUCUCUCUUCUGAAUACUGACAUCUUAUUCUAUCACUCACAGACAAAUACGUACCCAUAUGUAAAUAUAAAAGGAUAUGUUGAUUUUGAAUAAGAACGUGACUGGGAUUAUUAAAGGCUAGAGUCUUUGACAUGGACUUUAACUCCUGUUGGAGAUUCACUGUGCACCUGCUUUUGGUUUGUAAGAGAUUUUUCUAAAGGCUCUGGGGUUUACGUCUUAAUCCUUUUGUUUGACCAAAUAAAAAUUCACCAGGGCUGGUGAGAUGGCUCAGCAGGUAAAAGCUCUUGCCACAAAAGCCUGGUGACCUUAGUUCAAUCCCAGAGAUGCACAGUGGAAGGAGAACGGACUCCUGAGAGUCACCUUCUGACCUCCACAUCCCAUGAUCCCAUGUAAAAACCCGGGCACACGUCUGUGGUCCCAGUACUGGAAGGGAAGACAGUGGAUGCAGGACUCACUAGCCUGCAACCCUAGCUGACUGGGCUAGCCUAAGGCCAGUGAGGGACUGUCUCAAAACUAGCCCAAGGCCAGUGAGGGACUGUCUCAAAACACGAAUCUUUGAGGAAUGGCACUGUAAAUAGAUCUCUGGAUCACACAUAUGUGCUCACCCCCAUAUACACACAUCACAGAAAAGAAAAGAAAUGUUAAUAACUCAAGCGAAGCUCUUGGUAAAGGAAAGAAAAUGUGAUUGAUACUUUCUCACAUUUAUAAGUCAAUUUUAAGUAUUCAGAUAAAUAGCUUGCUAGAAAACUCAAAAAGAUCACAUGGGACAAAUCUUUUUUUAAUUAUUAUUAUUACUUAUGUUGUGAUAAAUUUAACUCAUGCAAGUCUUAUAUUUUUAUGAGGUGUAAAAUAGUAACAUUUAAAAUCUACUACAUAUAGAUUAGAAUAACUGAGUUACUGUGCUGCUUUAUGGAGCAUAACUUAUAACCUCUAAUACAAAAUUCUGUUAAUAUACAACUAAUAGAAAUAUUCCUAUCCUAUUCAAAUUAACAAUAGGAAUGCAAAAUAUGUAAUUUUAGGGUAUGUCCGAAUCUCCUGAGUUUAUCACCAAGUAGUGGAUGUCUCCAACCUCUGCUGUUUUAAUCCAAACCUCAAUUCAUUAAAUACGGACAUAAAUAUUUUCAGCAAUUCUAGGAAAACAACACUAUAUCAAGUAGACUCUCUGUAUAUUACAAACGCCAAUAAAUGUAAAAGAUUUAUAAAACAUGUCUUAAUUACACAAUACUCCUAAGAAAUAAUGACAAGGGGGAUUGCUCUGUUGUUGAUAACAGAAAACUGGCAUGCUAUCACCUGGCCACGUUUUCCCUGGUGUAAAUGACUGUCAUUUCCAAAAGGCUUUGGUAAUGAGAUUUAUGAACAUCUCAAUCAUAACUGCUUCUGCGUUCUUCACAACCCCUCCCCAUAAAGUGCUUCCAGAUCCAUUUUAAUUUCUUCAUUCAGAUAGAAGAUAUUUUCUUGCAACCAUUUUUAACUUAUAGAUAAAAUACACUGCUAGAAAUAAAAUAAUUUAUUAUUAUUUCUAUUUCUAAAUAUGACAAUCAUUUUUGUAUUUAUUUUUUGUGAACUUAUAUCCUGUGGAUAUGAAACUCAUGCCUGUUUUGGAAAUCACAUCUUCUGAGAAAGGCAUCUUUGAGUCUUUCUGAUCAAUAAUCAAAACACAGGCACUAACAUGCACGUGUGUGUCCAGCUACUCAGUGAUAAGCUAUUACUACUACUUAAACGAGCUAGAAAUACAGACGAAAAUAUAAUGUCUUUAAUCUGUUUUAACUUUAUGUGUAUGCCACAUACGUGUGCCCGCAGGGGCCAAAAGAGGGCAAAAGAUUCCCCUUGAGCAGGAACUACAGGUGUUCAUUAACCACCUGAUGUGUGGGUGCUGGGAUUUGAACUUGGGUCCUCUGGAAGAGCAACUAGUUGUCUCUUAACCUCUAAAUCAUCUCUCUAGUCCCUUAAACUAUAGACAGCUUCUUAAAAGCAAUACAUAGCUAACAUGAUGGUUAGGGAUUUCUAAGCAAGACUGAAAGGAAAUGAAGACAGGAAGAAAUGAGCAAGCAUGGUGUUUCCUGAGUGUGUUUCCCUAGCAAAUCUGGCCAAAAGGGCAGAAGCCGACAGCCAAUGUCAAAGUGCAGAAUCAAGUGACAAGGCCUGACUACAACCAUCUGAGACCAUGAAGGGACAUAUCCAGGCUGGCUGUCCCUCCAGCAGGUCAACGACCACAAAGCCUACCCAAGUCACUGCACAUCUGCUCUGAAGGUGCUAUUAUCAUCCAUUCCCUGAAGUUAUCAGUUCAAGUGACAUCUCAAGUACGGUGAUCAGUGUGCACAACUACCGGGUGUGCAUCAGAAACCGCAGGGCAGGGCAGGAUGGCAGGCCUGCAGAGACUUCAAGGGUUUGAAUGUGGACAAGACACCAUCACACAGGGAACAAAGUUCGGACUCCCAGGGUAGUGUCAGUCACGGAGAAUGUUCACCUCAACUCUCGGAGUGGAGACUGAUUUAGUGUAUCAUUCCCUUCACUAUUUCUAGUCAACCACUGUACUCUCCAAAGGAACAGAGAAUGGUAUUAUUAAACGAGUAAGCAGCAAGAGUAGCAAAGUGAACAGUGGAAGCAGUAUGCAUGUUCCACAAGGCGUUUCUCUUAAUCAAAGCUUUAAUAAGGAUACAAUGAGUCUUUUCUAUUGAUGGCUGCUCAUCUGCCACAAGCUCACUGCUCUGGGAAAAGCGAAUGACGGGUAGCCCAAAGCCACUCCGGUUAAUCUAGAGAAUAACAGGACCAGCUAUGGGAGUAAGACUUUGCAGUGCCGGGCGGAGGAGGACAUCACCUCUUUGCUAAAUAAUACUGUCGGUGGGCAGGGUGCUGGGCCCCACUAUAGGGGGAUGAAUGGGAACUGGGGCUGGUGGCUCAGAUAUGAAAGACACUUAAAUGGGACACUGGGUUCUCUGGAGUAGAGUGCACAGAACUUCAGAUCAGGUCACAUAGGGCAGAGUCUCUCAGUUCACCAGAUUCCAAAGCUGCGCAUAAGAACAAGCCUUAACUUUUGGCUACCAUUAUGCUGUGGUAGUCCAACACGUACAUCCAGGUUAGUGGCAAUUUUCUUUCAUGGAGGCCCAAAUGCCUACUAUGGACCUGCCAUCACUUGCGGUCAAUCAGCAACAGAUAAAAGAAAGCCAACAAAGGUAGAACAUCGCCCCGCCCUGACCAGGAAGCUUUUUCUCUCCCAGGGACAGCAAAGUCCUGUCAGGAAGGUAGACAGUUGAAUAGGACCAAGGUCAACUCUUGACUGGCAGCUUGCUGUGCCUUGCUCCAGAAUUAUCUAUGAACCAAUCUGCUUAUCCAGACAGCCUGCAUCUGACCCUCCCAGAUAUCUUAAAAUGAAUUAUGAUAGGUUCCCAGCACUGUAAUGAGUUCGAGCUUAUCCAAAGGUAAAUACAAAACCAAUGGAGAAACAGGAAUUACAUCUGACAUAUAAAGAGAUGCCUUUCGUUUAUUUUUGUUAUUUAAUUAACUUAUAACUAUGCACCUUCAUAGUUAGGUAUAGCUAACUAUGGUAUAAAAUGAGUACACAAUGAAUUUCAUAGAAAACUGAAACAUUAAACCUUUCAGAAAUUCAAAAUUAACUGAGACCCAAUAGCUAAACGUAAGAAAUAAAAUGUAAUUUUUUUCAAGAAUUGUAAAUUUUAUAUGAAAAAGAAAAGUAAACUUGAUGGCCCUAAGUAGAAACUCUAAUCAGUGUUUAACCCAACUAGCCUUCUAAAUUUAAAAACAAACAAACAAAAAAUAUCAGUGGAGUCUUUUUCUGUUGC